UAGAUCUUUUUAGGCUACAGUUCUAAGAUGAACCUUGUCGUGUCAUUUUUCGGAGAUCAAAGCUAUUUGAUUAGCUCUUGACUCACUAAUUAUUUCACAACUGAACUUUUAAUUUUUAAGAAAAAAGGGGAAAAAAGUUCAAACCACCCCAUAUUGAAAAGAUUUAGGGUUCAGGGGUUAGUUCCAAAAGGGAAGGUAUUAGCACCCUUUAUGUCCGUAGUACUCUACGGGAACCUCUUGAUUUUAUUUAAUUAAUGUGCUAUAACUUGUUUAUUAUUUUUUAAAAGAAGGAAUUAAAGUGGAAAAAUAAAAAUAAAAACUUAAUUAUCUACAUUUUUUAUGAUUUGGAGGGACAAAGUCCUUGCCUACGUACCCGUGAGGGAUCAAAACCUCGUAGUUCGGGGUAGAAAUUGACGUGUUUGAUUGGUUGAGUGUUUUUUAUUAGUUUUGAAAAAGGGUAUAAAAAUGAAAAGCCAAGUGGCAAUUGAAUAUUUGUUUGUGUUUUUUUAAUAUUGAAAAAAGAGAAUUGAAAUAAAGUUAAAUUGAUUGAAGUUUGAUUAAGAAAAGAAAAUAAAAAUGUGAUCACUUGAUUUGGAUCAAGGUUUAUUAUAAAAAAAUAUUUUUGUGAUUUUUGUUAUUUGCAUGUUUUUAUUGUUUUUUGAAUAACUUGACUAAAAUUAAACUAACGGAGCAAUAAAAAUAAAAGCGCGUGGAUUUUUGUAGUGACGUUGGAUCACCACAAAAUCCCUAAUUUAAUUUUUUGGAUAUAUGUAAAGCAGUAAAAAAAAUAAAAGGACACACGCACACACGCUUUUUCUCAUUUAUGAUUUGUACAAUUGACUUAAUUACAUUAUAAAAUCUAUGCAAUAAGAUAAAUGACAAAAUUUAAAUAUGCAUGUGAUAAUAGUAAAUAAUAAACGUGAUGCAAAAUAAAAUAAAAAUGCAUGAUAAAAUGAAAAUGCAUAAAGGAAAUAAAAGACUGGAGAUUCAAAAUGGGUCGUUGAUUUGAUCAACGCCCCUGAUCAGAUCAGGAAGCAAAUGCUGCAGACUGUUGGACUGAAAACAAAAGGUUCAAGGGAUGAGGGUGCAUGGGAAAACAUGCACCCUGGAGCACUGGAUCAAAGGGUUAUACAUAUAACCCCAACGCCUCUCUCUCUUUCUUUCAUUUUCCCUUCAUCCUUUUCCUUUCUUCUUUUCUUUUUCUUACGGUUCCCUUUCUUCUUCUUUUUUUUUAUUUUUUUUUAUUUUUCUAUAUUAAAACAAAACAAACAAAAAAAAAAACAAGAUAUAAAGUCCUAGAUCUAACUACCUUUCGUAAUGGAUUUGUUUGGUAUGGUAUUCUGGACGUGUUGGAUUUUUCACUGUUGCGGUUUCGAAAAAUGGGUUGUAUGGCUGGAUUUGGUUUAUGGUGAAUCGGUUACGAUGUUUGGUGAUUGCUGGUGUUGGGUUUUGGAAAUAUGGUGGUGAUGCGUUUUGAAAAGCUGAUGUUGUUGUUUCCUGGAUUCUUCUCAUGCGGGGGUGGAAUCGAAAAUUGGUUGUUGAUAAUUUUGAUUGCAGGUUAUGGUUGAUUGAAGUUGGAUUUUUUUGAUUGAAAUUAUGUGAUGAUAAUUCGAUGAUGGUGUAUGACGAGGGUUUGAGAAGUUUUGAUGAUUUGUGAUUACUGGUUUUCUUUUACCUUUUCAUGUUGUGGAAAUUAUCCCCCUUUUAAAGAAUCAGAGGUUGAUGAAAUAGAAAACAGAUUAAUGAGUUUUGAAUUGGAAUUAAGUGAAUUGAAUGGCUUGAAUGGAGCAUGAUGGUGUGGUACGCGUUUGGUGUUGAGAAAAGAAAGAAGAAAAAAAUUAUGACUUUGAGCUUGAAGCAUGUAAUUGAGGCGCAUGAAAAAUAUUUUUGGACCCUUGCUGAAAAUUUUCGGACUCAUUGAUAUUAUUGGACAAGAACAGAAAAUAACAAUUAUUAAAUAUAAAAAUAGUAACUAACUUUAAAAUUAAAAUUAAUUAAAGAUGGAAGUUAGAUAAUGAAAUAAAAAAGAAAAUAAAGAGAGAAAAGAGGGCCCGACUCGGAAUAAAAAAUGAGGUAUUUUAAAAUACCUCCCUGCCGAAUUUUUCAUUGAAAAAAUCAGAGAUCGAUCAGAGUUAAGUGACACGUGUCAGUGGGGCCUUAGGUCAAAAAUUGGGGUAUGACAAACCUCUAUUCUGGUUGUUGGAUAUUUAUUUAAAGUCUUUAUUUAGUUAUUUAUCUUUAUGUUAUUUAGCUUUACUGUCGUGCGUAAGAUUUGUCUCCUUUGAAACAUAACCCUGACUUAGACACUUAGCGAGGUGAUAUUACCUAAUAUUGAUGUAUGUUUGUCUAAUCAUAAAGUAAUUAAUUUAUAACUAGGGAAACAAGCUGAAAGAGCGUGAAUGUAACACCCUAAACCCCGAAUGCAAUAAAUCAUGUAAAUAAAUCAAUUAUUCAAAAGAGUUUGGAUGCUACAUCAUUAUUUUCUCAAAACAUUCAUAGUUCGGUUUUCAUAAAACUCGCAGCGGAAAACAAUAUCAAAAAUAUCUCAGCAACAUAUAACAAAUCUCAACAACCAUGUAUCAGGUCUCAUAAUACAUCAUUAACAAUAUCUCAAAUUUCAGACAUAAAUAGACAGCAAGUCUCAUCAAUAAAAUAAAUACAUAGCCAUAAAUGUAAAAGUCCCGACACUCCUAAUCAAAGCCCUAUCUAGACUUCAAGCAAAAGAUAAAGAGGUAGCUCCAAGCUAAUCCUCAAGCACUCACAAGCAAUAGGAACUCAAUCAUGCACGUCGUCUACACCAUUCAUACAAAUGGGUAGGCGGUCAACCAAACAACCACUGAAGGUUAGAUAAUAUUCCACAUAAUAAAAUAUAAUCAAGUAAAUGACAGUCAAGGAUUUCAAGUAUAACACGUAUACAUACUUAUCAUUCCUAGAAUACUAACUACAUGUGAAUAUUAUCAUACUUCUUCAUAGCACACCAAGCCUAUUCAUUUUCAAGGUCAAGUAAAAAAUCUAAUAAAUCAAGUCAUCAAACAAUGAAUCAUCACAUCAACAUUAUUUUCUCAAGUAUACUAGCAUAAUCAAACAACAUAUACAAGUCCACAAUUCCACAUAGUCACAACAUUCACCAAAAAUUAACCAAUGCACGUAAUCACCAAGUCACAUAGUCAAGUAUGUCACAUUUCACAAAUCUCAUGUGCAUGCAAUGUUCUAGACACUUCUACAUGCAUGUGGUACCAAUUUUUGGAUUCGGAGAUAAUUAUUACCGAGUAAUCCACUAACGUAAUCCCCACCAAUUAAGUUCUUCACCAAGUAACGUAAACCCUUACGAAUUUCGUUCUUCGCCAUCUAACGCUAAUCCUUGCAGAAUGCGUUCUUCACCAAAGACUCAACAUGACUAUGAAUGCAUGGACUUUCAAAUAAAGACUUCGACAAUGCACAAAUCACAACUCUAUAUUAUACAAUUUACACCAUCAUAUAAUAUCUUCACCAAAACUCAUCAUUGCAUUAUCAAGCAUUUACAUCUGUACAAUCAACAAGUCAUAAUCAACAAAAGAGUCAUCAUCAUAAUCAUCAUCAACAAGGAAACAACAUCAUUUCACAAAGCACAAUUCACAUAAUAGACGAACAAUUACACGCAUCAUGAUAACCAACAUAUUAUACACUCACUCAUCAUUGAUUCAUUCUUAUUUCAUAAUAUUAUCAUGAAUAUAAAGUCAUUUACAAGUUAUCACAUCAUAAUAUAUCAUUUUACCAAAGUUCGUGAUCGUCUAUUUCCAUCAAAGUUUGUCUCAUUUUACAAAAUCGUUUAUUUUCAAAUAUCUCACAAAGAUAAGGCAUCAUACUCAUACAUAACAACAAAUCAUUCCUAUUUAUCUCCUAACAUCACAUUAGUUCACGUAUAGCAUCAUCAGUUCGCAAAGUCCGUUCAUUUCUAAAAAUUCACAAAGUUCGUCUCCUUUUCUUCAUUUUUCAAAGUCAAUUCAUUUCCAACGUAAAAUUAUGUUAAACAACUCCUAUAAGUUCAAUUACACUUCAAUUAAUUUGGUUUAGGUGUUUGGGACCAAUUGGUAUGCUUAAAAGCUCUUUAAAAAGUGAACAAAAAUGGACUUUUCGUGCAUAGUAGGGUUGGCACGGUCGUGCCACCCUCACCAGAAGACCAGGAACGACCAGUGCCAAGGGGGCCCACGGUCGUGCCAGUUGUGCAAGUAGCG
rnacentral:lncRNA from 1 species